UGCUUGCGCGGCCCAGCCCGCCGCCCUACGGGAGCCCGGGGAUGUGGGCCGGGCCUGGGGCCGCCUCUGCUUACCUUUCAGCUGCUUUUUUUUUUUUUUUUUUUCCUCCCCUCCCUCCUUCCCCCCUUUUCCCUCGGCUGGGCUGACAGAUCAGAGUGAGAGGCGCUGGCAGUGAACUAGGAAGCCCGGCUCCUGCUGCUACCGCUUCCCCCUGGGCUGCGGCGAGAGCCUUUCCCUGUCAAGUAAGAGGGCCAAGAAGGCAGGGCUGCCGGGCUGCCCAAGAAGAGGAGCAGCCUCCUACAGCACCACUACCGGCACCGCGGGGACAUAACACCAGAGAGCCGCUCCUCGGCCUGCGGAACGACAACCUGCCUACCAUCUUGGAGGCACCGGAGAGGGGGGCCGGGGGGAGGAGAGUGCACGCGCCCCCCGAAGAAAGUGCACCUUCCCACUUCUUGUCUCUGGAGCAGCCUUCGCCGGCGCCCAGGGGACCCGCAGGAAAGAAAUUGGGGUGUGCAUGAGAAACUGGGGUGUGCAUUUGCACCAAAUUGGGGGAGGGGGCGGUGGGUGUUUUCUCUGCAUCUUCUGAUGAAAUCUUCACAAGACAGGUCUAACGGUACUGCUGUUUUGUUGUUGUUUUCCCCCAUGUUGGUAUUUCGGGUGGGUUUCCUUUUUUUCAGGUUAAUAAUCAUAAUAAUCUUAUUAUUACUAUUUGUCCAUUACGUGUCUGAGUUCUGGGUCUGGCGGUCAGUUUGUAGAUCUCGAUUUCAAGAGAGUUUCUCAGUCACUUUGUCUACUUAUUUAGGUUGUUGGACGUGGAAGUUCGGCUUUCAUUUCAUUUUAAAGUUUUCUGUUGCUUCUUAUCCUCCAAAUUGAGAUUGCAGCGAGUCCAUUGUGAAGAGCUAUCUUUUGUCUUCUUUUCUCAAAGCAAUGUAAAUAAAACCUAUUGACUGUCCUGAAA